UACAGAGGUCCCAAGCGUUGUUCGGAUUUACUGGGCGUAAAGGGUGCGUAGGUGGCGGGGUAAGUCUGGUGUGAAAGCUCCGAGCUCAACUCGGAAAAGCAUUGGAAACUAUCCCGCUGGAGGGUCGGAGGGGAGACUGGAAUUCUCGGUGUAGCGGUGAAAUGCGUAGAUAUCGAGAGGAACACCAGUGGCGAAGGCGAGUCUCUGGACGACUCCUGACGCUGAGGCGCGAAAGCUAGGGGAGCAAACAGG
rnacentral:rRNA from 1 species